GAUGAACGCUGGCGGCGUGCCUAAUACAUGCAAGUCGAGCGAACAGACGAGGAGCUUGCUCCUCUGACGUUAGCGGCGGACGGGUGAGUAACACGUGGAUAACCUACCUAUAAGACUGGGAUAACUUCGGGAAACCGGAGCUAAUACCGGAUAAUAUAUUGAACCGCAUGGUUCAAUAGUGAAAGACGGUUUUGCUGUCACUUAUAGAUGGAUCCGCGCCGCAUUAGCUAGUUGGUAAGGUAACGGCUUACCAAGGCAACGAUGCGUAGCCAACCUGUGAGGGUGAUCGGCCACACUGGAAGUGAGACACGGUCCAGACUCCUACGGGAGGCAGCAGUAGGGAAUCUGCCGCAAUGGGCGAAAGCCUGACGGAGCAACGCCGCGUGAGUGAUGAAGGUCUUCGGAUCGUAAAACUCUGUUAUUAGGGAAGAACAAAUGUGUAAGUAACUAUGCACGUCUUGACGGUACCUAAUCAGAAAGCCACGGCUAACUACGUG
rnacentral:rRNA from 1 species